CGAGGGUAGAAGUGAGGAGUAGGAUUGACCACUGUUCUGUGCAUCUGGAAUCUCCUUACAAGGUUUUCCUGCAUCUGUUUUCUAUAGUCAGCUUUGCUUUUUGGAUGUUAAAAUCCAGAUGUGGCAGAGGCAGUGGUGAGCUUCCACCAUCUGUAUCCUGGAUCACAGCUGUACUGAUACAACAACUGAAGUGCGCCUGGAGCUGAUGGAGAUGGUGGAUUCUGGACUCUGAAGUGGUGAAAGAAAGAGAUGAGCUUUGGAAUCCUUGGGAAUAAAUGAGUGUGUGCAGGAACUGGUGUACUCCCAUACAGAGGUGACCGGAGAGCGGAAUGCAGAACAAGUUUCCUUCAUUGCUCCGAUGGGGAGGAGAGCCACAAGAGAUGCAAAGCCUCCGAAGACAGGCGGAUACUAAAUGUAACAUAGAAAUCAAAAUGGCCACGAGGGCCUGGGCCUGCCUCGAGAAGAAGCCUGGGGCCGUAGGAGUGGAGGGCAUCAUGAGCCACCCACUUGUGAAAGGCAUCAAAGAGAGGUGUCCGUUUGACUUGCAUUUGACUCUCCUGGAACUUUGGCUUUUAACUAACAAAGUUGGCAUGCCAUGUUUGAAAACAUUUCUCUUAAACAUUAAACUCUGACAGUGAGAUUGCUCAGUAGAUAAAGGCGCCUGCCACCAAGCUUGAAUUUGAUUCCUGGGACCCACAUGGGGGAAGGAGAGAACCGACUUCUGGAAGUUGUUCUCUAAUCUCUACAACUACACAAAAUAAACAAAUGUGGGAAAAAAAAGCACUUUUUCAAACAAAACAAAGACAAGCCCAAUCUCUCAAAAACUUUAAAAACUGCAUAAAUCUCUAUUCAGCCAAGGAAAAUAUUUGUUACUUGGGAACAGGGUAUUAUUAUAUCACCAUAUCUACACAUACAGAUAUGAACUAAACCAGGCCUGGGAAUCUGAGAUAUGGAUGGAGCCAAGUUAGAAGCCUGCAGGUCCAGGGAAGGUGAUGUACUUUAGUUACCUUUUACCUCACUGAGCCAGAGUUGUGCAAACGCUCCCAGGCCAGUGGCAGAUCAACAUUAUUCUAGUGGUUCAUAGUUGAGAAAACAAAAGAUGUGGUGUAACUUUAAAAAAUGAGAGAUAGAGAAGAGAGACAGA